GACAGAGGGUGCAAACGUUGCUCGGAAUCACUGGGCGUAAAGGGCGUGUAGGCGGGCAGGUAAGUCGGGCGUGAAAUCCCUGAGCUCAACUCAGGAACUGCACUCGAAACUACUUGUCUUGAGUACCGGAGAGGAAAGCGGAAUACCUGGUGUAGAGGUGAAAUUCGUAGAUAUCAGGUGGAACACCAGUGGCGAAGGCGGCUUUCUGGACAGUGACUGACGCUGAGACGCGAAAGCGUGGGGAGCAAACAGG
rnacentral:rRNA from 1 species